rnacentral:rRNA from 1 species
GACGAACGCUGGCGGCGUGCUUAACACAUGCAAGUCGAACGGUAAGGCUCCAGCUUGCUGGGGUACACGAGUGGCGAACGGGUGAGUAACACGUGGGUGACCUGCCCUGCACUUCGGGAUAAGCCUUGGAAACUGGGUCUAAUACCGGAUAGGACCAUGGUGUGGAUACUGUGGUGGAAAGUUUUUUCGGUGUGGGGUGGGCCCGCGGCCUAUCAGCUUGUUGGUGGGGUAAUGGCCUACCAAGGCGGCGACGGGUAGCCGGCCUGAGAGGGUGGACGGCCACAUUGGGACUGAGACACGGCACAGACUCCUACGGGAGGCAGCAGUGGGGAAUAUUGCACAAUGGGCGGAAGCCUGAUGCAGCGACGCCGCGUGGGGGAUGACGGCCUUCGGGUUGUAAACUACUUGCACCAUCGACGAAGGGUUUCUGACGGUAGAUGGAGAAGAAGCACCGGCUAACUAAGUG